rnacentral:rRNA from 1 species
UCAAAGGAAUAGACGGGGACUCGCACAAGCGGUGGAGCAUGUGGUUCAAUUCGAUGGUAAACGAAAAACCUUACCAGGGCUUGAAAUGGUUUUGACAUUCCAGCGAAAGCUGGACUUCUCACAAGGACAAAAUCACAGGUGCUGCAUGGCUGUCGUCAGUUCGUGGCUUGAGUUGUUCCCUUAAGUGGGGUAACGAACGCAACCCCUAUCGUGUGUUACAAGUGUCACGCGAGACUGCCCCGCUCAGCGGGGAGGAAGGCGGGGAUGACGCCAAGUCAGCAUGGCCCUCUGAUGCCCUGGGCUACACACGUGCUACAAUGCCGGUUACAAUGGGUCGCGAUGCCGUAAGGCGAAGCAAAUCCCAUCAAAAGCCGGCCCAGUUCAGAUUGAGGUCUGCAAUUCGACCUCAUGAAGUCGGAAUCGCUAGUAAUCGCAGGUCAGCUAUACUGCGGUGAAUACGUUCUCGAGUCUUGUACUCA